ensembl:lincRNA
CUUCCCAAAUGUCUGAAGCCCAGACUAGGUUUGGAAGCUGGGAGGUGACCCUCGGCCAAGUGGGCUGCAAGGGCAGAAAUUUCCUGCCUCCGAGGAAGGAAGAGGGAUGGGGAGAGCUAAGGCCGGGAGCCCAGCCCGGGAGAAGCAAAGGGGCUCCUGGGAACCAGGGAGAGGCAGCGUGCUGAUGGGGGAGACCUUGGUGCUGUAUGUUUGGCAGGGAAACUGCCACUGAUUGAGGGCUUGGGGGCUGGGCCUUCCUGGCUGGGCACCAGCCGAGUGAGUGGAUGUGGAACCCCAACACAAAGGGCUUUGUCUUCCUGGCCCAAGAGGUGCCAUCUCCGCUCCCAGCCUGCAGCCAGCCGGCGUGGCCCAAGCUGGCUUCCUGCCCCACCUGCCCCUCCUCCUGCAUCUCCAUCUCCGUGUCCUGAGGUCCAUCCACCAAGUCCUCCCAGGCAGAAACCUAAAAGUCAACGACCUCUCAUCAGCCAUAAGGUCUACCAGCCCCACCUAUCCCUGUGCUUCUCCUAGCAGUUCCAGGGCUGGGGACCUUCCCCAGGCACCAGGCAGCUCUCCGCUGGCAGGAUUCCCUCCAGUCAAUUACUCGACAGGCUGGGCUUUGACUGUCCCAUACCCCUCUGGCCACCACACCAGAGGCUACUACAAAUUCAACUAGCGGGAAGGUCUCAGUCUUCACUCCCUGAGAUGGGCUGAUUUUUGUCAGUCAGCUUCUCCAGCUGCUGGGGAGGGGCAGAGAGGACAAAGUUUCUUUUCCAUGGAUACCUUUGUGCAUUUUUUUCAAUUCUGGCUUCUCAAUCUGUGGGACCCAGGGAAAGAAGGGAGGUAAACUCGUGACAGCAGAACAGAUGUCCCUGGGAACUAAGCUUCCCCAGAGGCACCCCCUGCACGGUCAGUCCCAGGCUGGCUUCCACCAGCCAGCAGCAGCAGAAUGCAGAGAUCGCUGCAAGAGAUCAAGAGCCCAGGGCCAGGGCACCACAUGCAAAGGUUUUCCUCCCAGCCACCUGCAAUCUGUGCACCUGAAAGGAAAGGAAAUCGUGUUCUUCUGCACAAAAGAAGGAAGACUAGGUGGUCUUCUCAGGCCAGAAAACCUGGAGGACUGGUACCACGAGGCAGGGGCACUGACCCAGUGGCUUCUAGGAUGAGAUGCUGCCUCUGGAUCCUCAUCUCCUGGGUUUAGAUCUCAGCUCCACCACUGGGGAACUCUGGGCAAACCCCUUGGUUUUCCUGGUGUGUGUAUUUAUUUGUUUGUCUGCAUAUUCACAGCACUCUUGCCUGCAGACAAUGGGGUCCACUCUGGCCAAUUUAAGUAGAAAGGGAAUUUAAUUAGGGAUGUUAGGCUCAUUGGACGAUGGAGAACUCAGCUCUAGAUCCAGCUCAGGAGCAUCUCCAAGAAGCACACAGCAGAACUGAGCUGAUGGGGGAACUGUUGUUGCCAUCGCAAACCCCGGGACCAGUUCUGCCUUGGCCACCAUCCAGGCCAGCAAAAGGUGUACCCCACACACAGCUGCUCCCACACAGCCUAUCUUCUGGUUGAUAUCUCAGGAGGAUGAGUGUGAUUGGAGGAAAGUAGAUCACAUGCCUAUACC